UUUUAUUUUUAUUAACAACAAUAAUGAAGAUAUCGUCCAUAAAUAAUAAUGGAGCGUUAGUUCCAAACUAUUCCUACAUUUUCCAUUUUGAACAGGAAUUUGAGCAUAGUGAUGUGAAAGAUUGGAUGGAACAAAAUUGGAGUAGAGUAUGUCUUUUAGCAUCAUCCGUUUAUAUGAUUAUCAUUUUUGGAGGGCAAUAUAUUAUGUCAGCCAGAGAACGAUUUGAAAUGCAAAAUGUUUUAACUUUUUGGAACAUUUUUCUGGCUCUUUUUAGCCUGAUGGGAUUCUCUCGAACGCUCCCCGAACUUUUUCAUGUACUGUUUAGUUCCCGUGGUGAUGGUCUUUAUCAUUCUCUUUGUAUACCGAGCUUUAUUGAAAAGGAUCGAGUUUCUGGAUUUUGGUCACUUAUGUUUGUUAUUUCCAAAGUUCCAGAACUGGGAGAUACUCUUUUUAUAAUACUUCGUAAACAAAGAUUGAUUUUUCUUCAUUGGUAUCAUCACGUUACAGUGCUACUUUAUUCUUGGUAUUCUUACUCUGAAUAUACAGCUGUCGCUCGAUGGUUUAUUGUAAUGAACUAUCUUGUACAUUCUCUCAUGUACUCAUAUUACACUUUUAAAACGCUCAAAUUUGGUCAAUGUUUCUCUAGUCUGAUGUUAUUAAUUAAAAUUAUGAUUAUUAUUUGACAUUGCAAUAACUUGAUUGUCUCAUUGGUAAACACUGAAUUAUCAUGAUCCUACAUAGUAUUUCGUGUACCUCGUCAAAUCUCGAUGACCAUCACAUUCUUGCAAUUAGUACAAAUGAUAUUUGGUUGUAUAAUAAAUAUUUCGACAUAUCAAAUUAAGUUAUCUGGAAAAAGUUGUCAAGUUUCUUAUCAAAAUAUUAAAUUCUCUCUCCUUAUGUAUGCAUCAUAUUUUUUUCUUUUUGU
rnacentral:misc_RNA from 1 species